GACGUAAACCCACGGGGGACACCUUUCUGGAGGACUUGAGUCCCGGAUGCUGUGGCUGCCCAUUCUUCCUGGGGUUAGAGCCCCCUUAUCGUAAGCCACACGCCUGCAGGAGCAAAGCAGGUGGUGUACCAGCGAGCCAUACACAGAGGGGCGGGCUGGGGACAAUACUGCGGGGGCUUCUAAACCUUCUGAAGAGUUCUUGCACAGUCUGUCGGUGUCAGAGCCACAGCAGCCUGCUGGGUGGUAGAGGAAGGCUGGGCUGGCAGAUCUGGGGAUGGAGGAAAACAGGCUGCCUCUUUGUCCUCCUGGCAGGCUUCCUGAGUUACAGGCAUUGUGAACAACUCAAACCAUCAGCCAGAGGUGACCGCUUGCUCGGUUAACUGGGAGAGCAGGCGGUGGGGAGGGGAGCGUGGUGCCUCUGGGGAGAGGACGGGGCUGUGACUUCACUCUAGGCAUGCUGGGGAUCCAUUAGCAGUGGUCUGAACCUGAGGGAUGAUUUCACAGGUUCUGGAUUCUAAUUAGCAGCUCCAUUCCAAAAUCCCCCUUGAGUCUGUGUAACCGUUCCUCCACGUCCGGAAUGCCUCCAUUGGAAAGCUUUUAGGCUUUGGUGAAUUGUUAAGCAGGACUUGUUUUUCCCCUCCUUUUUUUUUUUCCUCUGACUUCCAUAGCUCACUAUAGGAGGAAAGGAUCAUAUCCUGGCAUCUCUCAAAGCCCCGGGCAGCUCUGCCAGCCUCUGCUGAGUCAUGGAUGAGCAAGGACCAGGCUGAUUCUAUUUACGUGGUAUUUGCAUCCCUGUCCAGAAGCCUCUUGGGAGCCUAUUCUCUCUGCUCAUUGGGAAUGCACGGUGCCCAGUUGAUUCGUCUUGCUAGUCUUGAUGGCAUGCAGAGACUAAAUGUAUCCAGGCUCAUGAAUAAACUCCACAGCCCCAAAGGGCUCCUGUCUGGUUCCACUUUCCAGUGUGUAGCCCGAAGAGGCCAAGGUAACAGAGCUGAGGGGCGAUUGCCCUGUCUCCUUGGAAAUGAUCUUUUGCUUCUAAAACCAAAGAGCAGGAAGGACGGACAUCUGUGGAGACCUUCAGUAAUUUAUAGUGGGGGAGUGCAGAUCUGGGCAGGCUGCUCUCCGAGGCACCACUGUGCUCAGCUGAUCGAGGGUGGCAGCCUUGUGCUUCCUUCUCCUUUCUGCCAAGGUCUGGGUACAAAAAGUUGGAGCAGACAAUGUGUGCAGAGCAAGAUGACUCUGCUGCCCAUGGGACACAGUGUGAACUUAGCAUGAGGCUGGUGACACGGUCUCUCUGUGCACGUAGCAGGUCCCUUUGCCACCAGUGGAAAGGGGCUGGGUCAGGUGUCUGUAGGUCCUUGGUGUCUUACUCAAAGCAUCGAAAUUAGUAGAUACAGGUUUGCACAAGUAGCAAGAGUGCUUUUUUUUUUUCACCAAAAGGCCAGAAAAUGUGUGUUCAAGAAUGAGAGUGGACAUCAUGAAUGUCAGUACUCAAAGGCCCUGAGGGUUCCUUUCAUGGAGAUAGAGAGUGGGAAUUCAGUUUCUAAGGAUGUCCUUUGUGUGGUUCUCUAUUUUAACUACAUAGUUUAAGUUGUAUAUUCUUCUCUCUCGUCUCUUCUCAUAACACAUCUGAUGUCAAACAUAUGCCAGGUUACAUAUAGGCCUACAAUGGAAAAUAGGGGAUUCUCCCCGAAGGUGCACUUGGAGGACACAGUUUGCUUUAUUGUACAUGCAUCUAAAACCAGUCUAGCCCCUCCUACUGGGAUAGUUGUUAAGGAGAUGAGAAACUGAUUUCAUUGUUCAGAGAGGGUGGUGCCUGCAGCUCUAGGCAAGUGGGGGUUCUAGGUUGGCAAUAGAUUAUCCAGUGCAUUAUUCACAGGGAUGGAUGCGCGUAUCACUUGUAGGCGAGAGUCCUUUGCUGAGAGCAUUGCUAGAAGAGAGCUAUAUGCACAGCCCAAGCCAAGUGGAGUCCUAGGUUGUUAAGUGAUUCCCUAUGCUUGCCUACUUUCUGGGUGUGUGUGGAUAGGGCUUUUCUCCUGACUGCUCCUCCCCCCUACACAGGUCAGUUUUCUGCUGUAGUCCACAUUGACUACAGAGGAUCAUGCAUUGCCUUUAAUCCCAACAACCUGGGAGAGUUAGACAGGAGGUUUUCAGGUUCAAGGCUAGCCUUAGCAGCUUUCUGAGAUUCUUUCUCAUAACAAAAUAUAAAAAGAGGGGUUGGGGAUUUAGCUCAGUGGUAGAGCGCUUGCCUAGCAAGUGCAAGGCCCUGGGUUCAGUCCUCAGCUCUGGGAAAAAAAAAAAGACAAAAUAACAAAAUAUAAAAAGAGAGUUGGGACUCUUGAUUUCCAGAGGGGAGGGGAGGGGAUGUGGUGGGAAGGGCCAUGUGUGGCAGAGACUAGGAGGGGGGCCUUCAAUCAGAAUAUAAAGGGAAUAAAUACAUAAAUUAAUUAGUUAAUGGG
rnacentral:lncRNA from 1 species